rnacentral:rRNA from 1 species
UACGAGGGGGGCGAGCGUUGUUCGGAAUUAUUGGGCGUAAAGGGUGCGUAGGCGGUUUGGUAAGUCUGAUGUGAAAUCUAUGGGCUCAACUCAUAGUCUGCAUCGGAAACUGCCGGGCUUGAGUGUGGGAGAGGUGAGUGGAAUUCCUGGUGUAGCGGUGAAAUGCGUAGAUAUCAGGAGGAACACCGAUUGCGAAGGCAGCUUACUAAGCUGUAACUGACGCUGAGGCACGAAAGCGUGGGGAUCGAACAGG